ACCUGGCUAGCUCAGUUGGUAGAGCAUGUGACUCUUGAUCUCAGGGUUCUGAGUUUGAGCCUCAUAUUGGGUG
rnacentral:tRNA from 1 species